rnacentral:rRNA from 1 species
AUUGAACGCUGGCGGCAUGCCUUACACAUGCAAGUCGAACGGCAGCACGGGGCAACCUGGUGGCGAGUGGCGAACGGGUGAGUAAUAUAUCGGAACGUACCCUGGAGUGGGGGAUAACGUAGCGAAAGUUACGCUAAUACCGCAUACGAUCUAAGGAUGAAAGUGGGGGAUGCGCAAGCACCUCAUGCUCCUGGAGCGGCCGAUAUCUGAUUAGCUAGUUGGUAGGGUAAAAGCCUACCAAGGCAUCGAUCAGUAGCUGGUCUGAGAGGACGACCAGCCACACUGGAACUGAGACACGGUCCAGACUCCUACGGGAGGCAGCAGUGGGGAAUUUUGGACAAUGGGCGCAAGCCUGAUCCAGCAAUGCCGCGUGAGUGAAGAAGGCCUUCGGGUUGUAAAGCUCUUUUGUCAGGGAAGAAACGGACUUUUCUAAUACAGAGGUCUAAUGACGGUACCUGAAGAAUAAGCACCGGCUAACUACGUGCCAGCAACCGCGGUAAUACGUAGGGUGCAAGCGUUAAUCGGAAUUACUGGGCGUAAAGCGUGCGCAGGCGGUUUUGUAAGACUGUCGUGAAAUCCCCGGGCUCAACCUGGGAAUGGCGAUGGUGACUGCAAGGCUAGAGUUUGGCAGAGGGGGGUAGAAUUCCACGUGUAGCAGUGAAAUGCGUAGAUAUGUGGAGGAACACCGAUGGCGAAGGCAGCCCCCUGGGUCAAAACUGACGCUCAUGCACGAAAGCGUGGGGAGCAAACAGGAUUAGAUACCCUGGUAGUCCACGCCCUAAACGAUGUCUACUAGUUGUCGGGUUUUAAUUAACUUGGUAACGCAGCUAACGCGUGAAGUAGACCGCCUGGGGAGUACGGUCGCAAGAUUAAAACUCAAAGGAAUUGACGGGGACCCGCACAAGCGGUGGAUGAUGUGGAUUAAUUCGAUGCAACGCGAAAAACCUUACCUACCCUUGACAUGGCAGAAAUCCUCGAGAGAUCGGGGAGUGCUCGAAAGAGAAUCUGCACACAAGUGCUGCAUGGCUGUCGUCAGCUCGUGUCGUGAGAUGUUGGGUUAAGUCCCGCAACGAGCGCAACCCUUGUCAUUAGUUGCUACGAAAGAGCACUCUAAUGAGACUGCCGGUGACAAACCGGAGGAAGGUGGGGAUGACGUCAAGUCCUCAUGGCCCUUAUGGGUAGGGCUUCACACGUCAUACAAUGGUACAUACAGAGGGCCGCCAACCCGCGAGGGGGAGCUAAUCCCAGAAAGUGUAUCGUAGUCCGGAUUGUAGUCUGCAACUCGACUGCAUGAAGUUGGAAUCGCUAGUAAUCGCGGAUCAGCAUGUCGCGGUGAAUACGUUCCCGGGUCU